rnacentral:rRNA from 1 species
AACGAACGCUGGCGGCAGGCCUAACACAUGCAAGUCGAGCGAGGACUUCGGUCCUAGCGGCGGACGGGUGAGUAACGCGUGGGAACGUGCCCUUUGCUUCGGAAUAGCCCUGGGAAACUGGGAGUAAUACCGGAUGAGCCCUUUGGGGGAAAGAUUUAUCGGCGAAGGAUCGGCCCGCGUUGGAUUAGGUAGUUGGUGGGGUAAUGGCCUACCAAGCCGACGAUCCAUAGCUGGUUUGAGAGGAUGAUCAGCCACACUGGGACUGAGACACGGCCCAGACUCCUACGGGAGGCAGCAGUGGGGAAUCUUAGACAAUGGGGGAAACCCUGAUCUAGCCAUGCCGCGUGAGCGAUGAAGGCCUUAGGGUUGUAAAGCUCUUUCAGCUGGGAAGAUAAUGACGGUGCCAGCAGAAGAAGCCCCGGCUAACUCCGUG